rnacentral:lncRNA from 1 species
UAGCGUUUUUUGGACCUAAACGUAAAAACGUAAACUUUUGGGCCAAAGUGCAAAUACACAAAAGUAUCAAAACUUUAUGUAAUUGCAUAAAAGACCCAAAAGUACUCCCACUAGGGGGUGGCCGGUUUUGGAAGAAGAUAGAGUGAUGUGUGUGUUGAUUUGUGAGUUUUAGACAUAAAGCAACAAGUGGUGUAAGUGGUGUGUGUGAAAGGAAAUUAAUCCUUACACACCCAUCACCUUUUCCAUCACCAUUCAAAUAAAUAUCUAAUGCAAUAAAUCAUUUGAAAAACAUAAAACAUAAACUUUAUGAAAUAAAUCAAAACUUUGAAUCAAAACACAAACCUUUUUGUUCUUGGCAAAAAUGUCAAGAACAAUGAAGAACAUUCAUGAAAAACCCAAAAUUUUUCCAUGAACUUUUUUCACCCAAAAACAUUCCAAAACCAUUCAAACUUAAGGGAAAUAACAUCUAACCAAACUAG